UAUAAGAUGCCAAAAUACCAGAGUAUUGCAGUAUGCAGGUAUCAUUGCAUACUGCAAUUGUCUGGUAUUUUGGCAUCUUGUCUACUGCA